rnacentral:rRNA from 1 species
AUAGAUACCCUGGUAGUCCACGCCGUAAACGAUGAGUGCUAAGUGUUGGGGGGGUUUCCGCCCCUCAGUGCUGCAGCUAACGCAUUAAGCACUCCGCCCGGGGAGUACGGUCGCAAGACUGAAACUCAAAGGAAUUGACGGGGGCCCGCACAAGCGGUGGAGCAUGUGGUUUAAUUCGAAGCAACGCGAAGAACCUUACCAGGUCUUGACAUCCCAGUGACCACUAUGGAGACAUAGUUUCCCCUUCGGGGGCAACGGUGACAGGUGGUGCAUGGUUGUCGUCAGCUCGUGUCGUGAGAUGUUGGGUUAAGUCCCGCAACGAGCGCAACCCUUAUUCUUAGUUGCCAUCAUUCAGUUGGGCACUCUAAGGAGACUGCCGGUGAUAAACCGGAGGAAGGUGGGGAUGACGUCAAAUCAUCAUGCCCCUUAUGACCUGGGCUACACACGUGCUACAAUGGACGGUACAAACGGUUGCCAACCCGCGAGGGGGAGCUAAUCCGAUAAAACCGUUCUCAGUUCGGAUUGUAGGCUGCAACUCGCCUAC